rnacentral:rRNA from 1 species
CUCGUAGCUUGCUAUGAGAACAAUUAGUGGCAGACGGGUGAGUAAUGCAUAGGAAUCUACCUAGUAGUAUAGGAUAGCCACUAGAAGUGGUGGGUAAUACUGUAUAAUCCCUGCGGGGGAAAGAUUUAUCGCUACAUGAUGAGCCUAUGUUAGAUUAGCUAGUUGGUGGGGUAAUGGCCUACCAAGGCAGUGAUCUAUAGCUGGUCUGAGAGGAUGAUCAGCCACACUGGAACUGAGACACGGUCCAGACUCCUACGGGAGGCAGCAGUGGGGAAUAUUGGACAAUGGGCGCAAGCCUGAUCCAGCUAUGCCGCGUGAGUGAGGAAGGCCUUGGGGUUGUAAAACUCUUUCAGUGGGGAAGAUAAUGACGGUACCCACAGAAGAAGUCCCGGCAAACUCCGUGCCAGCAGCCGCGGUAAUACGGAGGGGGCAAGCGUUGUUCGGAAUUAUUGGGCGUAAAGGGCAUGUAGGUGGUUUGGUAAGUUAAAGGUGAAAUGCCAGGGCUUAACCCUGGAGCUGCUUCUAAUACUGCCAGACUGGAGUCCGGGAGA